CACGUGUAGCAGUGAAAUGCGUAGAGAUGUGGAGGAACACCGAUGGCGAAGGCAGCCCCCUGGGAUAACACUGACGCUCAUGCACGAAAAGCGUGGGGAGCAAACAGGAUUAGAUACCAUGGUAGUCCACGCCCUAAACGAUGUCAACUGGUUGUUGGAAGGGUAACCUUUUAGUAACGAAGCUAACGCGUGAAGUUGACCGCCUGGGGAGUACGGUCGCAAGAUUAAAACUCAAAGGAAUUGACGGGGACCCGCACAAGCGGUGGAUGAUGUGGUUUAAUUCGAUGCAACGCGAAAAACCUUACCUACACUUGACAUGCCAGAAAUCCUGCAGAGAUGUGGGAGUGCCGCAAGGAAUCUGGGCACAGGUGCUGCAUGGCUGUCGUCAGCUCGUGUCGUGAGAUGUUGGGUUAAGUCCCGCAACGAGCGCAACCCUUGUCACUAGUUGCUACAUUUAGUUGGGCACUCUAGUGAGACUGCCGGUGACAAACCGGAGGAAGGUGGGGAUGACGUCAAGUCCUCAUGGCCCUUAUGUGUAGGGCUACACACGUCAUACAAUGGUCGGUACAGAGGGUUGCCAACCCGCGAGGGGGAGCUAAUCUCACAAAGCCGAUCGUAGUCCGGAUCGCAGUCUGCAACUCGACUGCGUGAAGUCGGAAUCGCUAGUAAUCGUGGAUCAGCAUGUCACGGUGAAUACGUUCCCGGGUCUUGUACACACCGCCCAUCACACCAUGGGAGUGGAAUCCGCCAGAAGUAGUUAGCCUAACCGCAAGGAGGGCGAUUACCACGGUAGGUUUCAUGACUGGGGUG
rnacentral:rRNA from 1 species